CCGAGAGCUGUGUUUGCGGCGAGGCUUCGAGAGGCGCUCUGAAUCUCGCACGUCGCGGUUGUUCCCAAAGUUUUCCGUGAUCGAAAAUUGGUGAACUCUGAGCUCCAUGGAAUUCAAGCGGUCCCCUCUCGCUCGAGUCUGUUCAUAUAUACGUCGCCUCUGCAGCAUUCACAUUCACCAGCAUCUUCUUCUUCGUUCACGGCGUGCUCCGAAAGAUGGCGACCGAACAAAUGCAGGGAGAGACGGAGGAGACUGCGGCGACAUUGUUAUUGCCGAAUCUACUAGCUUUCCAAGAGCUGAUCCACAGCUUUCCUGAAGGUACGUUGAGUUAUUACUAUGGAGCGACGAUUGUAGUGUCAUAAACGGUGAAGGGCUGGCUAAUUCACUCAUGCAUCAAAGCUAAUUCCUUGCAACAACGCAAAUCUAAUUCCAAAUUGAACUCGGAUCCCCCCGCCAAUCCUUACUGCAUACAAAUUUAGCCUUUUCCAAGUCCUUCUUAAGCUGCAAUAAUCUUCACAAUACAAACUUAGAACCCCAUCUGGCGUGUGGAUAAGAUAACCCUUUUUUGCGAAUGAAUCUUUAAAAUUAGAAUUUUCAUAAAAGCCUACCGGUAGCUAUUUGUAUGAGUUCUUUGGACCUAGCAAACAAUCCCCACCCUUGUUGGACCGAAUUGUUAUAGGCCUACCAAUUUUGGCACAUCUACUAGAGGAGGUCCCACGUUAAUAUCAUAUUGUGACAUUCUUGAAUUAUUUCACUUAAAGUAUCAUCUGCUUUAUCCGUCACAGACUUCUCCAAGAGGUUACUCAUUCUACUAGUGCUCUCACUUGAACAUAGCUAACAUGAGAGUUUCAAUGUUAAGUGUUGUCCUUAUGUCCAAAUAUAUUCAAAAUCAUUUAUUUUUACGAAAUAAACAGAUUGUAAAAUUCAUGAAGGCGUUCUAGUAUCCAUGCAACAACAUUAGUGUGAACAAAAUCAAAUACAUUUCAUUUUGUGUGAGCAAAAGAACUAUGAAAUAAAAAUCUAUGUUGUCAAAUUAUCAUAUAGCGUUCCAACCAAAAAAAAAAAAACCUAUCAUAUAAUGAAAACAUCACUUCAGAUUUCUCUUUUAAAAUGCAGAAGUUCUUUUUACCGAGAGUCUCAAAUUUCCAUUGAGGUUCGGUCAUUAUACUAAAAAAGACAGACUAUUUUUAAAUUCAUCGCAACCGUAAAAUCAUCCUUACACACUAACAAAUAAAUUAGGUAACAUGUGUGUUUUGGAAUUAGUUCCAAAACCAAAUCUUUCCACGUGUUGAGCAUAUUGAACGUGUAAACAAUCUUUUACACCAACAAGAGACCUAAUAAAAAAAAUCAAAAUGAAAUAAUUAAAAUUGUUCAAAAACCAUGAACAGGCUCGGGCAAAUGCUUUCGGGUUUCUAGUGCCCCGACCCGGCGCUACCCGGCCCGAACCGGACCGGCCCCGGCCCAUUUUUCUCUUGUCGUCCUACCGUCGUCGCUCCGCCCUCGGAUUUUAAACGAGAAUCGGCGAUAAAACGGCGGCGGGGCUGACGAGAACGUUGCUUCCCGCUAAAUGCGAACUCUCUCUUUUGCUCCUUCUUUGACCGCCAUCGUGACGUCAUCCGCCCGAGCUCCGCGGCCGGCCAUCCCGUUCCCGCCCUCUCCGCGCCGCAAUCUCAGCCGCGACCGCGCCGGCGCCCCGAUGGCCGCGGACGGCGGAGAAGACGAAGGCGCCGCCGCCGCCGCCUCCAAGUCCAAGCUCGCCACCCACGUCGAUCGGAUCAAGCGGGUCGUCCGUGGAGAGUCCACCGGUACUCCUCGGAGCUCCCUCGAUUCCGCGCGCGCUUCGUUUUCCCUCUGGCCGAUUCUGCUUAUGUCAAUUUGAGGGAAUUCGAGGCUAGUGAUUCGAUUUGAUAGCUGGAAUUUCAGCUGAUUCGGUCUGUUAUUCUCGUGUGGAACCGUUUUAGA
rnacentral:lncRNA from 1 species